rnacentral:rRNA from 2 species
CCUACGGGAGGCAGCAGUGGGGAAUAUUGGACAAUGGGCGCAAGCCUGAUCCAGCCAUGCCGCGUGUGUGAUGAAGGCCUUAGGGUUGUAAAGCGCUUUCACCGGUGAAGAUAAUGACGGUAUCCGGAGAAGAAGCCCCGGCUAACUUCGUGCCAGCAGCCGCGGUAAU